rnacentral:rRNA from 1 species
ACGGAGGGUGCGAGCGUUGUCCGGAAUCACUGGGCGUAAAGGGCGCGUAGGCGGUUCGUUAAGUCGUUGGUGAAAUCCCGGGGCUCAACUCCGGGGCGGCCGGCGAGACUGGCGGGCUCGAGCACGGUAGAGGCAGAUGGAAUUCCCGGUGUAGCGGUGGAAUGCGUAGAUAUCUGGAGGAACACCGGUGGCGAAGGCGGCAUCCUGGACCGGCAUUGACGCUGAGGCGCGAAAGCCAGGGGAGCAAACGGGA